UGGGGAAUUUUGGACAAUGGGGGAAACCCUGAUCCAGCAACCCCGCGUGUGCGAUGAAGGCCUUCGGGUUGUAAAGCACUUUUGGCAGGAAAGAAACGCCAUGGGUUAAUACCCCGUGAAACUGACGGAACCUGCAGAAUAAGCACCGGCUAACUACGUGCCAGCAGCCGCGGUAAUACGUAGGGUGCAAGCGUUAAUCGGAAUUACUGGGCGUAAAGCGUGCGCAGGCGGUUCGGAAAGAAAGAUGUGAAAUCCCAGAGCUCAACUUUGGAACUGCAUUUUUAACUACCGGGCUAGAGUGUGUCAGAGGGAGGUGGAAUUCCGCGUGUAGCAGUGAAAUGCGUAGAUAUGCGGAGGAACACCGAUGGCGAAGGCAGCCUCCUGGGAUAACACUGACGCUCAUGCACGAAAGCGUGGGGAGCAAACAGG
rnacentral:rRNA from 1 species